rnacentral:misc_RNA from 1 species
UUGUGGAGGAGGACGCCGAAGGUGGGGCUGAUGACUGGGGUGAAGUCGUAACAAGGUAGCCGUACCGGAAGGUGCGGCUGGAUCACCUCCUAACAGGGAGACCAAAAACUGAUCUUUGGCGUCUGAGGUAUUUAUUCUAGGCCAAGAUCCUGUCACCUUAGGUCGAUCGGUACCUCAAAUUAGAUAUAAAACCUCAAUCGUUUUUUGUCCAAUUUCAGUUCCUAAACUUGUCUAGGUCACACCCCACAAGGGUUACUCCUGGGCCAUUAGCUCAGGUGGUUAGAGCGCACCCCUGAUAAGGGUGAGGUCCCUGGUCCAAGUCCAGGAUGGCCCAUUCGGUGUUGGGGGUAUAGCUCAGUUGGUAGAGCGCCUGCUUUGCAAGCAGGAUGUCAGCGGUUCGAGUCCGCUUACCUCCACUGACCGACCCCUUUCGAUGAUCAACUUUAGGUCCUUUGUGUGAUGUGAUUUAGUCUGUAAUCAGCUGAUUGAUCCUAGCUUCCUUUCAUUCCAACUUAUAGAAAAGUAUAGGCUGAAAGGAUGCUGGGCUCACUUCAAUUUAAAUACUAAAUUGAAGAGAUGUUCAGCAGAACCUUGACAACUGCAUAGUGAGUCUGGAAAAGAAAAAAAGCAUCUCAUAGAUGCAUUGUUUUCUUGCCUUUUUCUUUGGCUUUGCUGAAGAAAAAUAUAGUUAACAAUGUCUUUUUAUUGAGUAAGAGCCGAGAGUCUAUAUCUUUUGUAUUUUUGGAAAANGAUUUUUUCAAAAAUACCUUAAGCCCAUAGGAUUUUUAUUUGGUCAAGCUACAA